CCGAACCCUAAUUGUUUUUUUAGGAACAGCCGAACCCUUAAUUUACCUUGAGUCCGCUAAACCCUAAACCAUAGCCUCUUAAUUUCUUUCUCUUUCUCUGUAAAACUGAAGCGCCAAAAAUGUCAGACAACAACUUAAUACUUGGAUCUCCAUGGGAAUAUUUACCUGAUGAGAUUGUAACCGAUAUUUUCCUACGUCUACCUAUCAAAUCCAUAAUUAUCUGUAGCUCUGUCUCAAAAACUUGGAAAUCCCUAAUCCAAAACCCCACUUUUAUUUCCAACCAUCUCCACCACUCCUACACCACCACCAUCACCAACAACCAAAACCUCCUCCUCAUCGGUCCCCACCAUAAUGAACUAUAUUGCGCAUUGCAUAACGAAGAUGAUCCUUAUUUCAGUAAACACACUAGAUUUGAUUGUCAUCCUGCCUUGCGUUUCUCUAAUGGAUUAUUAUAUUUUGUCGGUACUUGUAAUGGCCUGCUCUGCCUUUCCAACACUCAUGACGUUAAUAGAUUCUUUCUGCUGAACCCUUCUGUUAGAAAGUUCGUGGAACUUCCUUCACCCAAUGUCACUUUACACGUCUCUUGGGUUUGGAUAUGAUUCCAAAACUAAUGAUUAUAAAGUGGUGAGGGCUGUGAGCUUAAAGUUAACGGAGGAUGGUUCUGUCUUUCAAAAUCCUCAACCCCCCGUGGUCGAGCUUUACUCGCUCUCCACUGGUCAAUGGAAAAUGCUUACUGCUCCUGUAUGUGUUGUAUAUGGUCGUCAGAAACAAGCAUUUGUCAAUGGGGCGCUGCAUUGGCUUGCUUCAAGGAGUACUACCACUAAUGAUGGAAAAAAUAGAGUACAUUUUGUUUUGGUGCUUGAUUUGGGGGACGAGGUCUUCCGCGAAAUACUGCUGCCGGAGAGUUGUACGUCUGUUACUGUAUAUGGAAAUUCCAUUGCUAUGUUUCAAAUAGGUUCUUAUGAUUGUAUUUUCAAUAUAUGGGUGAUGAAAGAGUAUGGUGUUGCCUUAUCAUGGAUGAAAGUUCAUCAAAAUCGAACAUUAACCAUAGAAAGGGCAGUAGGUUUUCGGAGGAAUGGUGAGGUUGUACUGCAAAUGUUUGGAGGAAGGCUUGUCUCGUGGAAUCCAGAGAGCCAAAAGAGUGAGGAUCUUAGGAUUAUUGGAUUUAGUUUUACUUUUGUUGGUUAUUAUGUUGAGAGUCUUGUUUUGCUUGACAAAACCGCCAACGGUGCAGUUACAUAUUGAAGAAAAUCAGGGAGGAUCUUUGGGACUUCUUGAUGAUAGGAGAAGAGAAUAUGUUUUGUGGUCUUGAAAAGAUGAUGCAUCCACGGCCGAGUGAUUUGCUAUUUACUUUGAAAAGUUACCUAUGUAAGAAUUAUUUUAUAUGGUUUAGAGUGAAGUCCGAUUGAAGUAAAGGUUGUGAUUUUGGUGGUUAGACUUAUAUUACUAAUUAAAAAAAUAGUUUAUAUUUGGGUUUUUAUUUGAUUAGGUAUGGGCAUUUUUAUAUUCAGGGACAAAUUUGUAAUUUCCACAAUUUCUAUCCAUGGGUAAUUUGAUUGAGUCUAGAAUGUUCUAGCAAAUCCUGCGUAUCUUAGGUUUUAUUUUAUUUGGGUCCAAGUUAGUAUUUUAAUAUGUUUUAUUUUACUAGCCAGAAUAGGAGUCUUAGUGAUCAAUAUAGGGAGAU